rnacentral:rRNA from 1 species
CCUACGGGAGGCAGCAGUAAGGAAUAUUGGUCAAUGGACGAAAGUCUGAACCAGCCAUGCCGCGUGAAGGAUUAAGGCCCUCUGGGUUGUAAACUUCUUUUAUCUGGGACGAAAAAAGGGUAUUCUUACUCACUUGACGGUACCAGAGGAAUAAGCACCGGCUAACUCCGUGCCAGCAGCCGCGGUAAUACGGAGGGUGCAGGCGUUAUCCGGAUUUACUGGGUUUAAAGGGUGCGUAGGUGGGCUUGUAAGUCAGUGGUGAAAUCUCCGGGCUUAACCCGGAAACUGCCAUUGAUACUAUAGGUCUUGAAUUAUCUGGAGGUAAGCGGAAUAUGUCAUGUAGCGGUGAAAUGCUUAGAUAUGACAUAGAACACCAAUUGCGAAGGCAGCUUACUACGGAUAUAUUGACACUGAGGCACGAAAGCGUGGGGAUCAAACAGGAUUAGAUACCCUGGUAGUCCACGCCCUAAACGAUGGAUACUCGACAUCAGCGAUACACUGUUGGUGUCUGAGCGAAAGCAUUAAGUAUCCCACCUGGGAAGUACGAUCGCAAGAUUGAAACUCAAAGGAAUUGACGGCUGAGAGNGACGACGACGACGACGAGGGAGGAGG